rnacentral:rRNA from 1 species
UGCCUCAGUAACGGCGAGUGAAGCGGCAACAGCUCAAAUUUGAAAUCUGGUCCUUUCAGGGCCCGAGUUGUAAUUUGGAGAGGAUGCUUCGGCUGCGGCCCUGGUCUAAGUUCCUUGGAACAGGACGUCACAGAGGGUGAGAACCCCGUACGUGGCUGGGUGCCUACGCCAUGUGAAGCUCCUUCGACGAGUCGAGUUGUUUGGGAAUGCAGCUCUAAACGGGAGGUAGAUUUCUUCUAAAGCUAAAUACCGGCGAGAGACCGAUAGCGCACAAGUAGAGUGAUCGAAAGAUGAAAAGCACUUUGGAAAGAGAGUUAAAAAGUACGUGAAAUUGUUGAAAGGGAAGCGCUUGCAACCAGACUUGGACGUAGUUGCUUAGCUGGGCUUCUGCCCGGUGCACUCUUCUGCGCCCAGGCCAGCAUCAGUUCAGGCGGCCGGAUAAAGGCCUUGGGAAUGUAGCUCCUCUCGGGGAGUGUUAAAGCCCUUGGUGCAAUGCGGCCUGCCUGGACUGAGGUCCGCGCUUCGGCUAGGAUGCUGGCGUAAUGGUUGUAAGCGGCCCGUCUUGAAACACGGACCAAGGAGUAUAACAUCUAUGCGAGUGUUUGGGUGGAAAACCCAUGCGCGUAAUGAAAGUGAACGGAGGUGGGAGCCCUAGGGCGCACCAUCGACCGAUCCUGAUGUCUUCGGAUGGAUUUGAGUAAGAGCAUAGCCGUUAUGACCCGAAAGAUGGUGAACUAUUCCUGAAUAGGGUGAAGCCAGAGGAAACUCUGGUGGAAGCUCGCAGCGGUUCUGACGUGCAAAUCGAUCGUCAAAUUUG